CUACGAGAAACCUCCAGAGUAUCAUCCACCAGUUGAAAAUCCCCCAUUUUAUAAACCACCGGUAGAGAAACCACCUGUGUAUAAACCACCAAUAGAGCAACCUCCAAUUUAUAAGCCACCUGUAGAAAAUCCUCCAAUUUAUAAACCACCAGUAGAGAAACCACCCGUGUAUAAACCACCGUUUGAGAAACCUCCAAUCUACCAUCCACCAGUAGAGAUACCACCAGUGUACAACCCACCAGUUGAACAUCCUCCAAUUUACAAGCCUCCUGUAUACAAACCACCAGUAGAGCAACCUCCCGUCUAUAAGCCACCAGUAGAGAAGCCUCCAAUUUACAAGCCACCAGUAGAGAAACCUCCUGUUUACCAACCUCCUGUUUACAAGCCCCCAGUUGAGAAACCUCCAGUGUACAAGCCACCUGUAGAAAAGCCACCAGUGUACAAGCCACCUGUAGAAAAGCCACCAGUGUACAAGCCACCUGUAGAAAAGCCUCCUAUAUACAAACCACCAGUAGAGAAACCACCAGUGUACAAACCACCCGUUGAGAAACCCCCGGUUUAUAAGCCACCAGUAGAGAAACCACCUGUGUACAAGCCACCAGUUGAGAAGCCCCCAAUUUACAAGCCACCAGUAGAGAAACCACCUGUAUACAAGCCACCAGUUGAGAAGCCUCCAGCUUACAAGCCACCAGUUGAGAAGCCACCUGUAGAGAAACCACCAGUGUACAAGCCACCGGUUGAGAAGCCCCCAAUUUACAAACCACCAGUUGAGAAGCCUCCAGUGUACAAGCCACCGGUUGAGAAACCACCUGUCUACAAGCCACCUGUAGAAAAUCCACCUGUUUACAAGCCACCAUUUGAGAAACCUCCAAUUUAUAAACCGCCAAUAGAGUAUCCACCCGUGUACAAGCCCCCUUUUGAGAAACCCCCCAUCUACAAGCCACCUGUAGAGAAACCUCCUUUUUACAAGCCUCCGUUUGAGAAUCCACCAUUUUAUAUACCUCCAGUUGAGGAGCCUCCUGUUUACAAGCCUCCAUUCGAGAAGCCACCAAUUUACACUCCUCCAUUCUAGAGCCCACCUUACCACCCAAAGUUCCCUCGGGCAGGCGAUGGUACUCGUUAAUAGAACAUGCUAUGAAGAAAAUAUGUUAAAUAAGAGAUAUAUAGAGUUUUUUAUUUAAUCAAGGAAUAUAUAUAUUCAUGUAAUCUUCAUUUCAAUACUUUGUUUACAAUACUCUUGCUAUGAUAAGAAUAUGAGUGAAAAACAGAGAAAGAAAAUAGUGUGCUUUUCUAUUCGAAAUUAUGAAUAAGAUUUCUAUGAUUUAGAUGUUGUGUUGGUUGACUAAAUCGUGAUACAUCGACAGAGGCAGAGCCCCUCAUGCGCCAAGGUGGGUCAUGGCCCACCCCCAAAUUUUGUUUCUUAUUAUAUAUAUAUUAUGUUUUGUAAAUUUUUGAUGUUUUUGUAGCAUGUUGUAGUGGUUAAGAGCCUUUUUGCCAAGUCGUAUGUGCUAGGUUCAACUCUUGCCAAAACCAUUUUUAUUUAUUCUUUUAUUUUCUUUUGUAUAAAAAAAAAACAUAAUUCAUAAUUGUUAAAAUAAUCCUUUUUUUUGUUACUUAAUCCUUUCUUUCUUUAAUAAAACAUAACUCCUUUAUUCGAUUUAAAAUAAUCUUUCCUUUCCUUACUCUUAUUUUUGGAUACAAUUGUCUCUUUACUCUUUUAUUUUAAUUUUUUUUUUAUACAAAGGGGACUUCAACUCUUUUUUGUCAAAAAACAUUCUCUUUUAAAACAUAUAACAUAUUUUUUAUACUUAGUCGUUUGAUUCAAUUCGAUUUUAUACCUAUACAUCUGUUUAUUGAAGUCGAGUCAUUUAAUUCAGUCGUUAGGUUCAAUGGCCUAGUUGUUCGAUCAAUUAUCUUGAACUUUAUCAAGGUUGAUAAACAGUUCAUAUUUUAAAAUACCGGUUUAAAUUAUAUUCAACAAAUAACAAAUUUAUAGUCAUUGGAACCAACCAAUAAUAAAAUGUACUUGUAAGAAAAUAAAGCCUCAUCACUAUUUAUGGCCCACCCUAUACUUUUUUCCUAGCUCCGCCACUUUACAUCUUCGUAUUCUUUAGGAAGUUUCAACCUUGUUGACUAUGACAACAGUGACGACUAUAACGAGACUCGCUAUUGACUAUGACAACAGUGACGACUAUAACGAGACUCCCUACUUUUUGGUUUGCUUCAACAGGUUCUCAACAUAAAUAACUAACCAAGUUAAUUUGCCUGUGAAAUGUGAUAUUAGUAAGGUGCAUGAAGGUUAAGUUCUUUAGCAAAGCUUAGUAUCUUGAAUUAAAGAAUAUCGUUAAUUAAACUAAAUAUUCAUAUUAGGUAUCACAAUUUUCAAGACUUUAUAUGUACGUGUUGAUCCAUUAAUUAAGAGAAAUUAGACUUUAGACCCGUGCGUCGCACGGGUCAUUUCGACUAAUAUAUAAUAAUAAGUAAUGGUAAAAAAAAUUCUAAAAUAAAUAAAAGAUGAAGAGUAUUAUACAUUUUACUUACUCAAGUUCAAAAAAUAAAGUAGGAGAUGACAUGAAAUCGUUUAGUUGAAACAAACGAAUAUUAAAAAAUAAAAAUUAGACAACGACAGGGAUCUAAAAUUCUAUUUCUAAUCCUUCACAUAUCAAAAUUACAAUUGGUUCUCUUCAUUGUAAUCAUCUAAACUUAAUUAAAAAAUUUACAAGUGCAAAUAGAAUCGACAUUAUACAAGUCACUACUUGAUUCCAAAAACCUAUGUUUCAUGAAAACCACUCAUACCUAAAUAACAAUAAUAAACCUUCAAAACAAAAAUCAACUAUUCUCAAAGGACCCAAAAGAAAGAUUUUUAGCCUUCUAAAUCACAAUUUCUCUUGUUGUAUUGUUUUUGUGUCAAAAGCACCAUAAGUUGAAUAGUAGGCUCAGACACAUGACUUUCCUCAUAAGACAAAAUCACCAGUUUUUUAUAGGUUGAAAAAAUAAAUCAAAUAUCCUUAACUUUCAAUAACGCUUAGAAACAACUGAAACUUUUGCAUUAUCUCAAUCCACAAACAAAAUUGAAGACCUUUAUAUUUGCUUUAGGCACCUUAAGGAAUUCUAUGUAAAUUGUUUUCCUGCAAUGAAAUGCUAAACACAAUGAGCAAAGAAGAAGAAUUAACAACAAUAUUUGGAUUGUUUUAUUUAGCUUACAAUUCUUUAAACUAAUCAANAACACAAUGAGCAAAGAAGAAGAAUUAACAACAAUAUUUGGAUUGUUUUAUUUAGCUUACAAUUCUUUAAACUAAUCAACAAAAAAUUAAAUUUGCAUUAUAUCCUCCACAAUAUCAAGAAUUUUUCAAAGGGAUCAUUCUAUUUGUAUGGCUAUGAUGAGAACUCAUGUGUGUCCAUGAAGACCAGCUCUACGGAUAACCAUGUUCAUAUUAACUAUUUUAGGAGUGAAAAUAGGAUUGGAUUGGAUUUAGUAGUGAGCUGUUGUUUUUGAUUUCAGAAGCAUUUGAAAAUAACAUUUUGAUUAAAUGGAAAUAAUAGGAAGAAUUUGUUAAUAAAAGUGAUUUUUUUUUUUUUUUUUAUGUUGAUCUUUUUAUUGUUGUGUUAGAAACAAAAUAGGACGAAAUUGUAUUUUUUUUUUUAUGUUUAUCUUUUUAUUGUUGUGUUGGAAACAAAAUAGGAGGAAAUUGUUAUAGGAAUAGGAGGAACGAUUUUUAAAGUUUAUCUCUUAAUUAAACAGGUUUAAUUGAACACGGGGGUAAUAACGUAAAAGUCAUCAUAAAAUCUAGGUUAAAAUUAGGUUAAAAAUUGGCUUACGGGUUAACUUUUAUAUAUAAAGAAGUCAAGAGAAUCUAGAUCUGUGAAGCCCCGAUACUUCAAAAUGGAUGAUGUAUCGUAUCCGCUGCGUAUUCUGUAUCGAUACCUGCCCGAUACUUCUCAAAUUUAUGAGUUUUAUUUGAUUCUUCGAAUUCGAAUUUUGAGAAUUUUAGGGUUUGAAGGUUGGUGAUGGAGGUGAAUCUGAGUUUAUAUUAAGAAUUGAUGAAGAAUUUAAGGAGAGUGCAGUGAUGGAUAGGUAACUGAGUAUGAAUUGGUAUGCAGUUUGGAAAAACAAAACAAGAGGCAGUAGCAGCACCCCCACCCUUCCUCUACUUCUUCGACAAUAUGAGUGUUAGAUUCAUUUUCCUAGGUGUGAUUUUGAGGCAGAUGAAUAUGUGUGAGAGAUUGUAGAGGAAGAUCUCAGAUAUAGCUUUUAGGGAUGAACAUGAAUGAAUGAAUUUGUAGAUGAAGAUGAAUGUUGUUUGAACAUUUAAUUAAGAAAUUUUUAAUUGUUUUUUGUUUUAAUAUUUGAAAUUAUUAAAUUGUAUUUUGAAAUUCAAAAAACCUGUUUUAAUGACAUGUAAAUGACAUUUUCCAAAUUGGCAAUGCCACAUAGGCAAAAUUUUACCACCUGUGCAUUUUUGGAUGUGAAAAUAGGGGGUAAGACUAAAACUGCAACAAAAAUGAUAAUUGAAAAACAAUUUUAAUCUGUUUUAAAAGGGCAGGACCAAUUUCCUGAGUAGGCCACAACACGAGGACCAAAAGUGUAAUUAAGCCUUAUAUUUAUGUUGAUGUGCUACAAGCUUAUGACUGGUUUCUUUUGUUUGAUAAUAUAUUUGCAUAUUAAAUAAAAUGGUUAUAAUUAUAUUCUACAUUUAAUUAUAUAAUUUUUUUAUUGACGUAUCCCAACCAUAUCGUAUCUUGAUUUUUGAAAUUUUUUCGUAUUGACGUAUCGGUGCAGUAUCGUAUCUCGUAUUCGGGCUUCAUAGAUCUAGACUAUUAAUUUUUUUGAUAAACAAGAUUAUUAUUAUUUUUUGACAAAAACAAAGUGAGAUUCAUUCAUUCAAAUUGAUAGAGUACAUCAGAUACAAACAUUGCUAAAAACGUAAAGGAUAAAUCUAUGAACAAACUCACAACACUAAAGUUCAUACAACAGCAAAAUGUCUACAAAUAAUAUGAUAAAAUCUAAGUCACCAAAAUAUUCAUGCUUCCGGGUAUGCAACGUUGGCGCCCAAAUCAUUGAUUGAAUUUGUAAUUGACUAAUGUCGAUCUUUCAACAUGAACUAAACGAACACCGCGUCAAGACGCGAAAUCAAACAUCACAUAAGACCACUAACAACACAAUGCCACAAUUAGAUGACGAAAUCACAAAAACUCAAAAGGGAAAACUUGAUAUAUGUGAAAACCAUUUGUUUAGAUCGAAAGAAAAGAGAAAAAACGAUGUAGAGGGGUGAUUUUAGGUCAAAAAUGACCUAAAACCAGUUCUUUUUAAUAAACGAAGGAGAAAGAAUGUUUAGAGAGAAGUUGGAGUUUUUUUUUACUUAAAAAAUUAGGAUAAGCAAAAUUAUUAUAGAGGGAUAAAGGGCUCCCCAACCCAUAUACAAAAUGAUGGUUGCAAUGCCAUGUAGAAAAUAAAAAGAUAACAUUGCCUUUCUUUUUACAAUUAAACUAGUUACAAACCCGUGCGUUGCACGGGUUUAAUAACGUAUUUUAUAAAAAAAAAAUCUUUUAAAAGAAAAAUGAGCAAAUUAAUGAAUAUUGCACAAACAUUAUAAAUCUUUAUCAAAAUAUUUAUGAAAGCUUUAUCAAGUCUUUAAUACACAUUAAUAUUUGUGAUGAUUGAUAAAAGAAUUAAAAAGAGUAAAGGGUAUAGAAAUAAAUUUAUUAAAGAAUUAACAAUUUGUUUAAACUUAUUUUUGUUACAAUUUAGACCAAAAAAAAUAUUGGACUUCAUUGAGUUUCUCUAUAAUUUUUUUAUCAGGCUUGAAGUUAUGACUCUGAGUUUGAAAACCGCAAAAUUCACAAAAAUUAUUGAAGAAACACUAUAAACAAAUAAACGGCAUCGUCAAAAAUGAAAUCAUAUUUGGCUAUAGUGAUCAAGCAAACAAAAAAAAAGAAGCAUAUUAAAUACCUAUAAUCAAUGGAUUCUAAUUGCAUAGAGGCGACACUUAUACUUUCUCUAUGUUUGUUCAUCAAUGAGAGUGAUUAUUUUGCGCUUUCCUUUCAGAAUUGUUCUUGACACCUAGUUUGGGAAAUGCUAAACAGGGAAAUAACUGUAAUAUUAAUCUAAUGCAUAUUAACAUGGAUAAGAUGUAUGCGAAUAUAGUUAUAUAUAACUUAUGAAAUGAAGGUAACAUAACUGAUUUUAAGCUAAAGAAAAUGUACCAUGACUUCUAAUUUAUCUUUCUAUUAUCUUCCUAUAAAGUCUAGAGAAAUGCAUGCAUGUGCAUUAUAUGUACCCCGUUGACCAAUUAACAUUUUUGAAACAAAUGAAAAUUAAGCAUCACUCCCGCAUGUGCAUCUAUAGCUAACACCAUUUGACAUUGAUGUCUUCGAACAUUUGGUGCAACUCUCAUAAUACCAUCCAAACUGGUUAGGAUUGAAUUUAGUUGUUUUUCCAAAUAGUGAUGGAGUAUGUAUCCUAACACAAAUUAUGCACGUGAAAUAAAGAAUAGUGCAAUAUGCAUUUUUAAUUUGUGCGUAAAAAAAUUCAAAGCAUGUUUGUGAAAAAAAAAAAAAAAAACAGACCUUGACUAAGUUUAUAGAUUCAUCAAUUGGCCUAACUUGAGACAGAUUGGAAAAAUCGUUCUACGAAGUACUUUUUAAACUUUACUUUUUAAUCUAUCUGAGCUUGAGAAGUGUUAAGUUCACGACAACAAUUCAAGAAACAUGGUCAAUAAACAAUCAAAUCAGAUUGUGAAAUAAUAAGUUACUCUAACACUGUAUUGUGAAAUCAUAAUGCAAACUUACUAAGUCUUAAACUUUUCAACAACCGGAUGAUGUAGGUUGAUGAGCAGCCUCGAACCUGACCAAUUGUUACAUCUAUUUGCGUUGUCAUUGACUACAAAAUAGAAGCAAAGAAUUCAAGGUAAAUAAAUGGUAAAUGAUAAAGCUACAAAGUAUUUUACCCAUAAUGUUACAUCAACUAUAUUCCCAAUGCUCUAAAUCUCUAUAUCGAGUUAUUACAUGAACUCGAUCACCCUAAAUCCGAGAAAGAAACCAAAAAAUAUAAAUAAAUCAAAAUGUAUACUAAUAAGUAACAUUGAUAAAUCAUAAAAGAAAUUACUACAAAUCUUAACUAACUUAUCUAACCUUUGCAUCACAAAUAAUGAGCUUCAUAUGUUGAUUCUCAUUACUACCAGUCACAAUUCAAGAAUCCAGUACUCCAAAUCCUAUUUUCCAAACGUCUAAAUCAUUUUUGAGAUACUUAAUGUAGUCAUAAUCCCUUGACAUUGAAAUUCAUAUAUAGAAAUACAAUAAUACAUCAUUUAAUUUUAUUCCCUUUGUUCAUUCUGAUAUCGAAAGAAGCUAACAUAUUUCUAUGUGAUCAAUUUUUGUAUCAUCAAAUUAACCUGAUCUUAAAUGUACAAAUUUCUAUCAUCAACUUUCUGGACCCCAAUGAUAUGAUCAAAACAAAUUUACACCAAUCAACUUUUUGCACGGCUCAAUGAUAUACGAAAGAAUAAAUAAAAUAUGAAAACUGUUACAGCUUUAGGAUUACUCACAAAAACUAAAAUAAUUGAAAUGCAUCAAUUAUUUUCAACUCCUGUACCAGAAGCUAAAAUAACAAUUGUGUCAAAACCUUACCAUCAGUUAAAAUUCAGUCAUCAUGACCUCUACUAUACUCCACAUAACAAAAGACGAUUUUUCUACAGCCAUGCAACAUAACAAAUUUUGGUACAUAAUCCAAUAACAAUUGGAAAAAAAAAAAAAAAACCCUUAAAAUGCAUAAUCAUGAAAAAAGGAAGAAAACCAUCUAUGAUGAAGCAAAAACUAAAACGGUGUCGAAAAAUGAAGCCCUUAAGCCAUAAAAAUCAGUCAACUCAAGUCAUGCAUGGUCUCAGAACCAUGAAAAAAGAUAGAAAAUGACCUUUUUUUUUUUUGUGGUGGCCGGGGUUUGAACUCCGGACCUUGCAUAUUUUAUGCAUUGUCCUACCAACUAAGCUAAGCUCACGAGGACGAAGAAAAUGACCUCUUAUGAAGAAGAAAGUGAAACAGUGUUCCCGACUGAACUUAGAUACCGUUUGGUCAAGGUUUUUUACAUUAUAAAAGUUACUUCAAAACAAAGUAAAAAUAAAGGCCUUUAUGAAAGAAACUAAAGUUAUUUGGUUUUUUUGUUUUGUUAGUUUUAAAGCUAUUUAAGUUUAAUGUUGUUUGGCAAAAUAUUGUACAAACUUUGAAUUUAUUAUUUUUUAUAUGGUGUCUGGGGUUCGAACUCCGGACUUGGCAUGUAUUUAUGCAUUGUUCCUAUCAACUGAGCUAAACUCAUGAGGACAAAACUUUGAAUUUAUUAUUAAUUAACAUAAUAAAUAAAUAAAAUGUUUAGAAUAAUUUAUGAAGGCUAAAAAUGUUAAAAAAAUAAAAGAUAUUUUUUUUACAAAUACGAUAUUUACUCAAUAACGUUUAUUUUGUGUAACAUGAAUACAAAUUAAUAUCAUCAUAUAAAUAACUUGUUAAAUAUUUGAAUAGGAGAAACAAUUUAAGGAGUCUGGAAUAAUAAUAUAAAUAAUAUCAAAAUAUUUGAUUUUUUCUAUUUCAAUUAUACUCUAUAACAAAUUUCGUUAUAAGAAUACCAUAUUUUUUGUGUCUUUCAAAAAGAUAAGAAUUUAUAUUAUAUGAUAUUAUAUUUGUUACAUUGUUGGUGUCAUGGAAACAGAUAUGUUUAAUUUUUUUGAACAUGAAAAUGAUAUGCAUAGUUUGUUACGAUAUAAAGGUGCAAUAUAUAUAUAUAUAUACACCUUUUUAGGCAUCUAUACCUUUUUUUGAAGAAAAGACAUCUACAAUUUUACUUUUAAUUAAAAUUUAAAUUUUAUAAAAAUAAUCAUACGCAUUAUGCAACGCUAAAAAAAAUUAUACACAUUAGCGUAACAAAAAAACAGACACACAUAAAGAAUUACUCUAAACGCUAAUGUGUAUGUGCGUAUAUAUUUGCGAGGUUGAAGAAAGAAAAUACAAAUAUUUGAUAUCAUUAAAUGACAGCGUGAAUAAAAAUAUUUGUGAAGUUGUGAUGAUUAAACGAUAUUGAAAUUAUAAGUGAUAAAAAGAUAAUAAAAUUCCUUUGAAAAAAAGGUAAUAAAAUUAAAUGGAACCUCCUUAAAAAAAAUUAAAUUGAACGCUUCAAAUUAAAUGGAAGAAAAAAAUAUAUUGAAGUAUAAUAUUAAAAAAUAAAAAAAAAGGUUCCCAACGUGAAUUGAAGAGAGAUGCUUGUGAAAUAAAUUGUCGAGAAGUAGUUUUUUGAAGAAGCAUUCAACAACUUUUGGUCAAAGUUCAUUGCAUUCAAUUUUAUGCAUUAAAAAAGGUACAUUUUUUAGAAAGUACUUAAUUGAUAUUGUAUUUGACCUAACUUCUCCUUAAAAAUAUAGGGAAGUUGAAAAAAAAAACCGGGUCAAACGGUAUCUUAAUUUCCCACAACGGCAGUGUAGAAACAACUGAAUUUGGGAGAAAAAAAUUGGAAAAUAGUUAAAAAUAAAAAAAAUUGAAAAAUAGUUAAAAAAAAUCGGUGAGGUAGCACCUAACCAAACAACACUAAAAAAAAUUAUAUGCAUCAGCGUAACAAAAAAACAGACAGACGGACAUAAAAUAUUACUCUAAACGUUAAUGUGUGUGUAUAUAUUCGCGAGGUUGAAGAAAGGAAAUAAAAAUAUUUGGUAUCAUUAAAUGACAGCGUGAAUAAAAAUAUUUGUGAGGUUGUGAUGAUUAAACAAUAUUGAAAUUAAAAUAAUUAAUAUUGUGUUUGACCCAACUUCUCCUUAAAAAUUUAGAGAAGUUGGAAAAAAGUCGGGUCAAGCGAUACCUUAAUCUCCCACAACGGUAAUGUAGAAGCCACUGAAUUUGGGAGAAAAAAUUGGAAAAUAGUUAAAACUAAAAAAUAAAAAAAUCGGUGAGGUAGCACCCAACCAAGCAACACCAAAAAAAAAUUAUAUGCAUUAUCGUAACAAAAAAAUAGACAAACAGACAUAUAAUAUUACUCGAAACAUUAAUGUGUGUGUAUAUUCGCGAGGUUGAAGAAAGGAAAUAAAAAUAUUUGAUAUCAUUAAAUGACAACGUGAAUAAAUAUAUCUGUGAGGUUGUGAUGAUUAAAUAAUAUUUAAAUUAAAAUAAUUGAUAUUGUGUUUGACCUAACUUCUCCUUAAAAAUGUAGAGAAUUUGGAAAAAAGCCGGGUCAAACGAUACCUUAGUCUCCCACAACGGCAAUGUAGAAGCAACUGAAUUUGGGAGAAAAAAUUGAAAAAUAGUUAAAAACAUAAAAAUUGGAAAAUAGUUAAAAGUUAUUAAAAAUUAGAAAAUAAUUUAAAAAAUUGGUGAGGGGCAAAAUGGGAAAUUUGGCAUAAAAAAGAUGAGGUGGCACCAAACCAAACCCACCAAUUAGAAAAUUACUUAAAUGCCCAUUCCAGGGACAAAAUGGGAAUUUCAUAUGGCAUCAAUUUUAAUAGAGUAUAUAGACCACUCACAUUACACAAAUGUUGAAAUAUAUGAUGCAUAUUACUUUUUAAAUUUUUGGUUUAUAGUUGCAUUUUUUUUAGGGUUAAUAGUGUUUUUCACCCUUGUAAUAUAUGUCAUUUUCGGUUUUCGACCCUAUAAAAUUUUUAGUUUUAUUUUAACCCUCGUAAAAUUUUUAUUUUCCGGAAAAGACCCUUAAUAGGCCAUUCAAAAACCAAAAUUUCUUGAAAAAAAUUCUGAAAAUGGCCUAUUAGGGGUCUUUUCCGGAAAAUAAAAAUUAUACGAGGGACCACCUGUUGAGAAACCACCUGUACACAAGCCACCAGUUGAGAAGCUACCUGUUUACAAGCCACCUGUAGAGAAACCUCCGGUGUACAAGCCACCUGUUGAGAAGCCCCCAGUUUACAAACCUCCAGUAGAGAAGCCUCUAGUGCACAAGCCACCAGUUGAUAAACCACCUGUACACAAGCCACCAGUUGAGAAGCUACCUGUUUACAAGCCACCUGUAGAGAAACCUCCGGUGUACAAGCCACCAGUUGAGAAGCCCCCAGUUCACAAACCUCCAGUAGAGAAGCCUCCAGUUCACAAACCUCAAGUGGAGAAGCCACCUGUAUACAAGCCACCAGUUGAGAAGUUUCCAAUUUACAAACCUCUAGUAGAGAAGCCUCCAGUGCACAAGCCACGAGUUGAGAAACCACCUGUACACAAGCCACCAGUUGAGAAGCUACCUUUUUACAAGCCACCUGCAAAGAAACCUCCGGUGUACAAGCCACCAGUUGAGAAGUCCCCAGUUUACAAACCUCCGUUAGAGAAGCCUCCAGUGCACAAGCCACCGGUUGAGAAACCACCUGUAUACAAGCCACCAAUUGAGAAGCCCCCAGUUCACAAGC
rnacentral:lncRNA from 1 species